GGCAACCGAGGGGCAUUGCGCAGACGCAGUGGAUGAACCCUACACGCCAUCCAAAGGGGCCCUUGCGAGCAGCCCGGAAAUAAACUCUGCACAUGCNNNNGAGAUAAAAAUUCAGAAAGAACUCACUCCCCACUCCUGCCUUGUAAAUUUCACCAAGGACACCCGGAAGAGAAGAACUCUCCUCCCAACUCCUCCCAAUUCCCCAGCUAGCUGUUAAAAGCCCCCUACUGUCACCGCUCAGGGUCAACUCCCAGCCCCUGCACAGCAGAGGGACUUCAUCCUCAGCUACCUAAUAAUAAAACCUCUUGCAGUUUG
ensembl:antisense Gm14302 predicted gene 14302